rfam:Triticum urartu cultivar G1812 contig1029851, whole genome shotgun sequence.
AUACUUCGGAUUCGCCAUCAUACAUCCAACCGUGCAUUUGAUAUGCAUAUAUAUGCAUCACGAGCCACGGUUGGGCUGUAUGAUGGUGAUACCGAUUGG